AUCUAGCUGACGAGUUCCAAAUAGGACGAAAUGUGCAUCCUGGAU
rnacentral:hammerhead_ribozyme from 1 species